UCUCUCUCCCCUCUCCCCGUGUGUGUGUGUGUGUGUGUGUGUGUGUGUGUGUCUGGUCUCCCUGUGCCCCUGUCCUAUAGCGUUUAGGACCCUCUCACAUAAUCGGGGACCAUCUCCAUGUCCCAGGAUCCUCAGCUGGGGUCUGCAGGCUCUCUUGCCGUAUAAGGGAGCAGUUAUGGGUUCUGGGGAUGAGGGCCUGAAUUUUCUGGGGGAGGGAGGGUGAUUUCUCCUGCCAUAAUGACCAGUGAUGGCCUUGACCAGGAAUCUGGUAAGAGUCCCACAAGCAUGUAAACCCCUUAUGGUGUGCAGUUUCUCCCGCAUACCUGACUCCAGGCAGGUGGCUGGGACAAGCGCUGUGCGGGGGACAUGGCCCCUGCCUUGCUGAGUCACCGCGUCACCACACUCGGGCCACUGUUGUGAGGACUGGGAUGACUGGCAUAUCCUUGGCCUCUGCUGCACCCACGAAGGAGCAGUGAUGCAGUGAGCAUGGACGAGCACAUCUCUCUCUGACAUCCUGCUGUUGAUCGCUGGAUCAUAUGGUGGUGACACUGAACUUCUCUCCACGUGCUUGGUGCUCACAUCUAUUUCGUGUGUAGAGAAGUGUCUGCUCAAGUCCUUUGCCCAUUUAAAUUUUUCAUUUGUUAGAGAGGCAGUGAGAGAGUGAUUCUCAUGUACCUGUUCACUUCCGCAUGUCCAUAUGGCCCCCGGCCGGGACCAGAACUCCAUGCGGCUGUCCCAGGUGGCUGGUGGCGGGCCCGUGUGCUCGAGCCAUCUUGCUGCCUCCCGGGUUGCUCAUCAGCAGAAAGCUAGAAUUGGAAGUGGAGCUGGCACAUAAACUCGAUCACUCCCGAAUGGGAUGUGGGCCAGGUCACAUGCCCCCCACCCACUUUUUCAUCAGAUUAUUUCUUUAAAAAAUUUUUUUAAAUUUAUUUUUAAUUCCCCAGAUGGCUGCAAUGGCCAGGGCUGGGCCAAUCCAAAGCUUGGAACAUCUGUGUCUCCCAUGUGGGUGCAGGGGCCCAAGCACUUGGGCCAUUCUCUACUGCUUUCCUGGGAGCAUUAGCAGGGAGCUGGAUCCAAAGUGGAGCAGCCAGGACAAAACCGGCACCCAUAUGGGAUGCUGGCAUCACAGGCAGAGACUUAACCUGCUACGCCACAGUGCUGGCCCCCCAAGUGGCAUCUUAACCACUGUUACUACAUUUACUAAUGCCACCUCUGCCUCUGAUUUUAAUGUAUUGUGUGUAUAUGUGUGUGUCAUUGAAACGUGAUUCAGAUAUGAAAAACGCAGUCUUAAAGUAUACAAUUCAUGGGACCGGCACUGUGCCAUAGGGGGUUAAGCCUUCCUGCGGCACCAGCAUCCCAUUUGAGUGCCUGUUCGAGUCCCAGCUGCUCCACUUCUAAUCCAGCUCUCUGCGAUGGCCUGGGAAAGCAGUAGAAGGUGGCCCAAAUGUUUGGGCCCUUGCACCUGUGUGAGAGACCCAGAAGAAUCUCCUGGCUCCUGCCAUUGGGUCCACUUGGGGAGUAAACCAGCGGAUGGAAGACCUCUCUCUCUGUCUCUCCCUCUCUCUGUAACUCUGCCUCUCAAAUAAAUAAAACUCUUAAAAAAAAUUCAGUGUGGUUUUCAGUCUACUCACAAGAUUUUGAAACAAUCACCACUGUGUAGUUCCAGAAUUCUUUCUUUUUUUCUUUUUUUAAUGGAAUGACUUGGUUAUAUUGCAGUAGUUUAGAUUUUUUUUUAAGAAUUAUUUUACUUAUUUGAAAGACAGAGGAGUUGCAGAGAGAAGUAGAGCCAGAGAGAGAGAGAGAGAGAGAGAGAGAGGGAGGUCUUACAUUCUGCUGGUUCACUCCCCAAAUGACCACAACGGCUGGAGCUGAGCUGAUCCGAAGCCAAGAGCCAGGAGCUUCUGGGUCUCCCACGUGGAGUUGAGCCAUCUUCCACUGCUUUUCCAGCAGAGCUAGAUCAGAAGAGGAGCAGCCGGGACUCGAACCGGUGCUCCUAUGGGUUGCUGACACUGCAGGCUGGGGCUUUAACCCGCUGUGCCACAGCAGCGGCCCCCAGAAUUGUUUCAUCACCCCAGAUGGAAAGCCUGCACCCACUAAGCAGUCACUUCCCACUCCUCCUUCCCCGAGCCCCUGGCACCCACCAGUCUGCUCUCUGUGCGUAUGAAUGUGCCUGAUCUGCACAUUACACAUCCGUGAAAUCAGCACCAGUCAGGGUUGCUCAGAGAAACAGAGCCAGCCAGCUCUCUAGAAACAUAGAGAUUGCCUGGGCAGGGUUGCUCCCCGUGAACAUGGAGGCUGUGUAGUCCCCAGAUCUGCUGUCCACACGUUGGAGACCCGGGGAAGCUGUGGGUGCGGCUGCAGUCCAGGCCCGCAGCCUGAGAGCCAGGCGAGCCCUGGUACGCUGUAGUCCUGGAGCGCUGGUGUGUGAGAGCAGAACGUGGGUGUCCCGGCGCAGGCAGAGAGUGGGUUUUCCCAUCCUCUACCUUUCUGCUCUGCGUUCAGCCCUCCACAGGUUGGGUGAUGCCUGCCUGCAUCGCUGAUUCGAAUGCCAAACUGUGCUGGCAGUGCCCUCACAGCUCUCUGGGCCCAGCCAAGGUGCCACGUGACAUUAUACAGUAUGCACUUGUCUCUGAUUUCUCCCACUUGGCAUAGUGGUUUCCGAGUUCGCCCACAUUUUGGUACUUACCAGGAUUUCCUUCCUUUUUAUGGCGGGCUACGUUCCACAGCCUGGAUAUGCCGCUGUGCGUUUAUCAGCUGAUGGGCAUUUGGGUGGUUUCUGCUCCAGCAGCAACGUUGCUAAGAAUACUGGGGCGUGAGGGUCUGCGCAGACAUCUGCUUUCACUUCUGCGCACGUUUCUAGGAGUGAAGUUGCUGUGCCACGGUGCGGCUGCUCGGGGACCAGGAGCAACCUGGGCUUUUGGUCGAGCAGACCUCGAUUUGGAUCUCAACUCCACCCUUCCCCAGCUGAGUUAUGGUGUCCCCACGGUGUGGUUAUGGGUUCAAGUUGGCAGGUGCCCCCUGAGACUCAAGUGGGCUUUCCUCGUCUCCCCAGAAGGGUCCGAGCUGGGGACACAGCAUCUUCCUCUCAUCCGCAGUCCAGCCACUGCACCUGCAGCGCCUGGCGCUUUGUCACCUGCAGGGGUGUGCGCUACAUGUCACCUUGAAUCCUCAAAUUGCAGCUUUCACUUUCUGCCAGUCUUUUCUGUGACUCUGUUCGCCUAGGCCUGUGGCUGCUUUGCCAACUCACAAUUCCCCUCACCUGGGGCAGCCGGCAGGUGGGUACAGUAAUCCCAGUGACCCCUCUGUUACUUUGAGACACUCAGGUCAUUUUCAGGGAGGUCUGCAUUGGCCUGUGGUCACAGUGACCUUGAACUUGAACAGAGACCCCGGCACCUUCCAGACCCCCAGUUUUCUCCUCCACUGUCAGGUUGUGUGAGUGAGCCGAGGGGGGUGACGGGUAUGUAUACGACAAGCCCCGUGUGGGCAUCCGGAACGCUUGCUGUAACUGACGGUUUGCGUGCCUCCACGUCUGUCUGCACAGGGCUGGAACGGAUCACGCUGGGGUUCUCCCUGGAGCGGGAAACUGCCCUUCCUCUGGGAAGUUAGGCUGAUGCUCUCUAGGCACCGUCUUGCAGAACUGCUCUGCACCCAAAGGUCACAGGUUCCAGAGAGUUCCCACCACCGCAGAGCAGUCUCCUCCUGCCACCAUGUGUUUCCAGAACUUGACUUUGGUCUUGGUUGUCGGAACCGGUUCCUUGGCUGGUGUUUUGCAUUUGGGCCUUGCUCACCCCGGUGGGUGUCACAUUGGGAAGAACACUGUCCUCUGAGAGUGUCACGUGUCUGUGCCGGCCCAGCCUGGGGGCAAAGGUCACAUGGAGAAAAAGCCACCUCUGGAACUCCCUCACUAGCUCGGAAGGUCCUUUUGUCUCUCCCGUCAUCCA